ensembl:snoRNA small nucleolar RNA SNORA18
GUUUAGGUCUAUCCCAAUGGGAGUUCUUCUGUAGGCCCACAUCAUUGGAAAUGCAGCACAGUAAAUAUGUGGUUUGCUUAACUCACAGAACUAUUUGUUAGAUAUGUGGGAAAGAACUACAAAACAAGA